rnacentral:rRNA from 1 species
UACGUAGGGGGCAAGCGUUGUCCGGAAUUAUUGGGCGUAAAGAGCGCGUAGGCGGUCCGAUAAGUCGGCUGUGAAAGUCCAGGGCUCAACCCUGGAAAGCCGGCCGAUACUGUCGGACUAGAGUCCGGAAGAGGCGAGUGGAAUUCCCGGUGUAGCGGUGAAAUGCGCAGAUAUCAGGAGGAACACCGGUGGCGAAGGCGGUUCUGCUGGGCAUUACCUGACGCUGAGGAGCGAAAGUGUGGGGAGCAAACAGG